CAGCAGGAUAUUUUGGCUCCUCGUGCAAAAAUUACUGACUUUGCAACCUACUCUGUCUUGAUUCUACUAUUACGACUAUUAAGACUUGACCAGUUAGGCUUUUUUUUUUUUGUAAACUUUGUCCAACUAAAAUUCUAACAUGGGAAAGCAGCAAUCUGGAGUGUUAAGCAUAUCCUUCCUGUUAGAAUUAAUGGCAGCUUUGUGAGUAAUUUAUCUGAAGGAGGGUUUAGCCAAACUGGAAAAGAAAACUAUACUGAAGUUUUGCUACUUUUUUGUUUGUUUUUUUGUUUUUUUUUUUUUUGUUUUGUUUUGUUUUUCUCCAAAGCUCACAGGCUUGAUGUUUUUCUUCAUCUCCCUCUGACAUAUCACUCUAUGCCAUCCCCACAACUACCUGGGAAGUGCACGCUGCACGCAGAAUAGCAAUCAAAGCCAUAUUCUUUAGUCUGCUUCUGUGUAAUCCUGACUCAAGCUUCCCAUCUCAAUUUUUAAAAUGUUAUUAAAGUGUAAAUUACAGAAGAUAACACUACUUCCAAGGACAGAGAAUAUUAAAAUAAGUUCGCAGUGCUAAGAGAGAAAUAUCAGUCACUGGCAAGAAGCAGCCUAGGAUCUGAACAAAUUCCAUGCCGUUUGGAGAAACAAGUAAAUGAAACAGAAUUAAUCAGCAGAUGUAAAAGAGAGAGUGAGAUGCCGAUACAAUAUGGAAAAGAUGUACAUGAGGGCAUGAAACAAUCAGCAUGUGCAUCAAAUCAUCAGCUGGAUACUGUACAGAUGGAAAGAACUCUGAAGAAAUGCUACAAGAUACUUGAAGAGGGUUCAAGCUGGACAUGAAUUAAAGGGAAAUUAAAGCAAUCUGUGCCUCUCUCUCUUGCUCGCAUGUACAUGCACACAACACACACAGCCUACCUUCAAUAAGUCCUUCCCCAUCCCGGUUUUCUGACCCUUGCUCUUCCUCUGCCAAGUCAGGGCUGACCUUUGCAGCAGGCCUGGAAGGCUGGGCUGUAGUGGCAAAAGGGUGGCACAAAGAACAGACGAGGUUUUUUCACAGAUUCCUCACAACUCCCAUGAACCAGACUCAGGAGGGAAAGAUGUAGAAACAGUCAGGCACAGCAAAUAGAAUUAGGAAAUAUUUUGAAAAUAGACUUGCAAGCCAGGACAUGCAAUAGCCAAAUCCACUUUGCGUCUCAAUGUGACACAAGUUCAAAGGUUUGAAUUACUCAAGAACAUCCUGUGUUUAGCCAACACCGCUAAUCUGGUGCAUCUAUCGUCUGGCCAAUGUUUCUUCCUUUCCUUUCUCAGCGUACCCAGCACAGAGAAGUGCUAUGUUACAGACACUCAUAAACAGUCUGAAUGUGAGCAAAACAUCAGCACAGCUUUGGAAAGCAGGCCAUAUAUUCACAGUCAUGAUGGGUUUAAAUUUUGUUUUGUUGUUCUUCCUGCUGUUUGCCAGCAAUAAAUGGCAAUUGUACUUUCCGACCAUGUUCAGCUGGGCUCUACGCCAUUUUCUGCUGUUUUUGAUGGCAGAGUUCUCCAAGACAUAUAUUAGAAUAUCUGGCCUAUGCAAUAAUUCACUAAGGCUGCAGUCUCGUUUCCAAGGAGGCCCAGUAACAAGAGGGGAAAGCUUUUUUAGAAAGGCAGCAGACUUCUACAUGAAUAAUAUUGAACUUUCCCAUGGAAUUUCAAUAGCAUUAACAAAUUAUUUUGAUAAAAUACCAGCAGGCUUUGCAGAUGGGUUAUAGGAGAGAAAAAUGUGCAAGCUCUACACCCACUCCUCGAUGUUCUAAGCUCCCUUACAGUCUGUCCUGUGAUCAUUCUUAAACACACUUAUGUCAGAGUUAAUCUCAUAAUGGUAAUACGUCCACAACAAAUUACCACAGCAAUGCAGUGAGCUCAAUUAACUUUUAGAUCUAUUCACUAUGCAGAACGAAAGGUCACUUUCUAUUAAAACAUCUCCCUCCCACUUCCUUAUCAUCCUUUG
ensembl:lncRNA